rnacentral:tRNA from 1 species
AAAAGAUUAGUUAACUAAUAACAUUAGUAUGUCAUACUAAAAUCAUUAUAUACAAAAUAUAAUAUCUUUUU